rnacentral:rRNA from 1 species
GAUGAACGCUGGCGGCGUGCUUAACACAUGCAAGUCGAACGAUCGCAAGAUAGUGGCGCACGGGUGAGGAACACGUAGCUAACCUGCCUUCGGGUCUGGGAUAACGUCGCGAAAGUGACGCUAAGACCGGAUAAGCUCCCGGGUUGUAGAGACCAGAGAGAAAAGGGGCAAGACGCCUGAAGAGGGGGCUGCGGCGCAUCAGCUAGUUGGUGGGGUGGAUGGCCUACCAAGGCGACGACGGGUAGCCGGCCUGAGAGGGUGUCCGGCCACACUGGAACUGAGACACGGUCCAGACUCCUACGGGAGGCAGCAGUAAGGAAUAUUGCUCAAUGGGGGAAACCCUGAAGCAGCAACGCCGCGUGAAGGAUGAAAUACUUUUGUAUGUAAACUUCUGUAAGAUGGGAAAAUAUUCUCCUCGGGAGAAUUGAUUGUACCAUCAGAGUAAGCCCCGG